GCGGGCGUGGCGGAAUUGGCAGACGCGCCGGGUUUAGGUCCCGGUGGGCUCCGGCCCUUGGAGGUUCAAGUCCUCUCGCCCGCA
rnacentral:tRNA from 1 species